UACGGAGGGUGCAAGCGUUAUCCGGAUUCACUGGGUUUAAAGGGUGCGUAGGUGGGUCUGUAAGUCAGUGGUGAAAUCUCCGAGCUUAACUUGGAAACUGCCAUUGAUACUAUAGGUCUUGAAUAUUGUGGAGGUCAGCGGAAUAUGUCAUGUAGCGGUGAAAUGCUUAGAUAUGACAUAGAACACCAAUUGCGAAGGCAGCUGGCUACGCAUAUAUUGACACUGAGGCACGAAAGCGUGGGGAUCAAACAGG
rnacentral:rRNA from 1 species